CUGGUAGUCCACGCCCUAAACGAUGUCUACUAGUUGUCGGGUCUUAAUUGACUUGGUAACGCAGCUAACGCGUGAAGUAGACCGCCUGGGGAGUACGGUCGCAAGAUUAAAACUCAAAGGAAUUGACGGGGACCCGCACAAGCGGUGGAUGAUGUGGAUUAAUUCGAUGCAACGCGAAAAACCUUACCUACCCUUGACAUGGCAGGAACCUUGGAGAGAUCUGAGGGUGCCCGAAAGGGAACCUGCACACAGGUGCUGCAUGGCUGUCGUCAGCUCGUGUCGUGAGAUGUUGGGUUAAGUCCCGCAACGAGCGCAACCCUUGUCAUUAGUUGCUACGCAAGAGCACUCUAAUGAGACUGCCGGUGACAAACCGGAGGAAGGUGGGGAUGACGUCAAGUCCUCAUGGCCCUUAUGGGUAGGGCUUCACACGUCAUACAAUGGUACAUACAGAGGGCCGCCAACCCGCGAGGGGGAGCUAAUCCCAGAAAGUGUAUCGUAGUCCGGAUUGUAGUCUGCAACUCGACUACAUGAAGUUGGAAUCGCUAGUAAUCGCGGAUCAGCAUGUCGCGGUGAAUACGUUCCCGGGUCUUGUACACACCGCCCGUCACACCAUGGGAGCGGGUUUCACCAGAAGUAGGUAGCUUAACCGCAAGGAG
rnacentral:rRNA from 1 species